ACACGCAUGACACACUGCAUAUCAAUAAGCGGAGGAAAAGAAACUAACAAGGAUUCCCUUAGUAACGGCGAGUGAAGCGGGAAGGAGCUCAAAUUUGAAAUCUUCAAGGUUUUACCUUGACGAAUUGUAGUUUAUAAGAAGUGUUUUCUGUUAGUGGAGUGGCAAAAGUUCUUUGGAAUAGGACAUCAUAGAGGGUGAGAAUCCCGUAUUUGACCAUUAUUUCCAGCUUUGUGAUACACUUUCAAAGAGUCGGAUUGUUUGGGAAUGCAGUCCAAAAUGGGUGGUAAAUUUCAUCUAAAGCUAAAUAUUGGCGAUGAGACCGAUAGCGAACAAGUACCGUGAGGGAAAGAUGAAAAGAACUUUGAAAAGAGAGUUAAACAGUACGUGAAAUUGUCAAAAGGGAAGCGUUUGACACCAGUGUUGUUUUUCCGAAAAUCAAUUACGAAUGUUUUAUUUUUGAGAAGUUAUGACUUCAUCGGCUUGCUUCUCUCUUUAUGAAACUUUCUUAAUGCACUUUUCGGUUAACAAGUCAACAUCAAUUUCUUUUGUUGUAAAAGAGGUUAUGAGGAAGGUGGCUUUACUUUCGGAGUAAAGUGUUUAUAGCCUUGUUACUCUGCAAUCGGAGAGAUUGAGGUCUGCAGCGUAGAUCCUUCGGGGUUAGAUACAUUUGUGCUAAGUUAUAGCUUUUCAUAGACAACUUGUUGACUAUGUUAAGUCUUGUGAUUUACUCGCAUAUGCUAUUUUACCUACGCUUAGGAUGUUGAAGAUGUAGCACAUCAUACACGCAUGACACACUGCAUAUCAAUAAGCGGAGGAAAAGAAACUAACUAGGAUUCCCUUAGUAAUGACGAGUGAAGCGGGAAGAUCUUACUCGCUUGCGCUAUUUUACCUACGCUUAGGAUGUUGAUAGUCACAGCGUGUAC
rnacentral:rRNA from 1 species